UGCGUAGGCGGAAUAUUAAGUCAGUGGUGAAAUCCUGCGGCUCAACCGUAGAACUGCCAUUGAUACCGAUAUUCUUGAAUGUAGUUGAGGUAGGCGGAAUGUGUAAUGUAGCGGUGAAAUGCUUAGAUAUUACACAGAACACCGAUUGCGAAGGCAGCUUACUAAACUAUGAUUGACGCUGAGGCACGAAAGCGUGGGGAGCGAACAGGAUUAGAUACCCUGGUAGUCC
rnacentral:rRNA from 1 species